rnacentral:lncRNA from 1 species
UGAACCUCAGACAGCGGUCCGGGCCCUGGAGCCUUCAGGAAGUGGACGAACAGCCGCAGCACCCGCUGCAUGUCACCUGCACGGGGUGGCGGUGGACGAGCGGAGCACCGUGCCCGAUCCCACCCAGGCCUGAUGCAAGUGUGCACGACAGCCCCAGAGGUAAUUCUGGAAGGCGUUGGAGCCAUCCAACAGAAGGAGCCUGGAUCUUGAAUCAGAGUUGGGAGAAGACUGACUUGAUCAUCAGCAACACUUGUUUUACAUUUUACCUGAGCAAGUAGCAUGACAGUGGGAAAGGAAACUACCUUCCCAGUACACCUAGGAUGGAUCAAGAUCCAGAAAUGACACAUGAAAGAAAAGAAGAAAACACUGGGAGAAUACGAGGACUCAAAGAUGUGUAUUCUAGAUGUGGCCCAAGAGAAAGAAGAUACAGCAUCUAUGUUUCCAGCUUGUAAAAGCAGAACCCCAAUUUUGCUUCAGAUACUCCUCAGCCUGCGGGAAAUUAACUCCCUCUUCUGGCUUAAAGGAUGAGCCUAAUUGAUCUAAGGGUAAGUGACUGGCUCAGGAAAGGGACAAUGAUUCCAUUCACGACAGUGAGACUCAAAGAGAUGCUUGCCAGGGACUGCUGGCAAUGUCCAUCGUCCUUUCUCUGAGACCUUCUGGAAGUUUGCUUUGCCAGAGCGUCACUGUGUAUGAACUAAGGCCCUGGACUGUUGCAGCCUUACUGCCAGCCUGAAGAUAAAGUCAUCCCUCAAGGAGGGCAGAGCCCAGGAAGGGGCAGGAAGAGGAGCUGGAGCCUGUGGAUCAGCUCUGAAGCCGGUUCCACUUCUGGGCCACUAGCUACAUAAGCUGAUGAAUUUCCUUAUUUAUUAAGCCAGUUUGGGUCACCUCUGUUUUCUAUUACAUGCGGUCCAACACAGCCCCAAU